CCUUUUUCAGAACUUAGCUAGGUCUUUUGUCAAUCUUCGGUACACCUUUUUCAGAACUUAGCUAGGUCUUUUGUUGAUAUACUUGGCAUCGCAGAAAAAGGUUCCCAUACCAUUUCCCACCAGGCAGCUCUGAGCGCGUUUCCUCUGCUUCUCGCCCGACUUUUCUUCCAGUCGGGCGAUUUGACCACCCCUUGGACUCACAGUGUAGUGAGUCGGGAAUCAGUCCGGUUGAGUUCGGUUUGGAAAGGGCCUGUGCUCAAGAAUAUAUAAAAGUAACAAAUCGCUUAAAAGCAAAGCACAUUUAAACGUGUUUAAAUUCAAGAAAAUAAUACACUCAGAAAACUGAAGAACAAAUAAUUUGAGAAAGAACGUUCUUAAAAAUGUUAUCUGCCGUACUUAAAAUUUUUAAGACAACAGUACUUAGAAUAAGUACUAGUUGUACUCCAAUUUCACAAUUUAAAAGCGAAAUUAUUGAUACUCAUGGAAAACAAAGGUUUAUCUUUACUCAUUUAUGUAUGUAUAUUCCUUGAUCAUUUUAUGAGACCAAUUUUAAAAGAAUAUACACAAAAAAUAUAAGAAGUUUAAGCCAAAAUUUACGCGAUCGAAAAAUAUCCAGCCACUCGACUACUUACACUUGUUAAUAUUAAUUGCAUUUCUGUGUUGUUGAAGAAACAUAUAUGUUUUUUCGAUAAUUGCAACACGGCUCUCAUUUAGUGUCAAAAAGUUCCUGGAGUAACAAGUACAAAGUGAAUUAAGUGAAAUAAUUGAACAAUAAAGUGAAAAUGGUAAGUGAAAAUGUAGACACAUCAGAUAGUGAGCUUACAACGGCAUUAGAGGAAAUGGGCACGGUGUGUGAGUUCCCUUUUCUACAGGUUAAAAAUCGACUUCUGAGAAAUAUGCCCAGAAAAAGAGCAUGCAUUGGUUUCAAAAUAGGACGACCUGAAGCACAGUGUUUCCUUUUUACGAUAGGAAGAUUAAAAACCAUCUCAGCAGUGAAGAUGCCCAGGACUUUUUAUUUGUUAUUUUGUUUGACAGUG